rnacentral:rRNA from 1 species
AGUGAACGCUGGCGGUAGGCCUAACACAUGCAAGUCGAACGGCAGCACAGGGGAGCUUGCUCUCUAGGUGGCGAGUGGCGGACGGGUGAGGAAUACAUCGGAAUCUGCCCAGUCGUGGGGGAUAACGUAGGGAAACUUACGCUAAUACCGCAUACGACCUUCGGGUGAAAGAGGGGGAUCGCAAGACCUCUCGCGAUUGGAUGAGCCGAUGUCGGAUUAGCUAGUUAGCGGGGUAAUGGCCCACCAAGGCGACGAUCCGUAGCUGGUCUGAGAGGAUGAUCAGCCACACUGGAACUGAGACACGGUCCAGACUCCUACGGGAGGCAGCAGUGGGGAAUAUUGGACAAUGGGCGCAAGCCUGAUCCAGCCAUACCGCGUGGGUGAAGAAGGCCUUCGGGUUGUAAAGCCCUUUUGUUGGGAAAGAAAUCUUUCAGGCUAAUACCCUGGGAGGAUGACGGUACCCAAAGAAUAAGCACCGGCUAACUUCGUG